GUAAAUAGUUGGAAACAAGCGCUGCCCACAGCAAAAAGCUCGGCCGCAGACAUUUCCGGUGCUGCGGGCGCUGCGCAUCUCUUGCCACCCAGGUGGGAGUUUGUGGGCCAGUCCGUUUGAAACCGUGACACUGUCGUCAGGGCCCACCGCCAGUCCACCUUUUCCUCUCACCCCAUCCCAUCUCCGGAUCUAUCGCCCUCGCCAUCGGCAAUCGGCAUCGCCACCGGUAGUGGGAGGGAGCAAGGGGGGGACCCAGGCCAACGCCGCGCACCUUUGCCCUCUUAUCAUCAUCAACAUCACCACGGGCGGGGGAGACGGCCCUCGAAGCGUACCCGUCCCCAUCCUCCUUUUCCGAACCACCGGAGCGCGGCGGCGCGGCGCGAGACCCUUCCCGGCUUCUACUCCUCCGAUCCUCCGCACCGGCUGACGAGUAGCCCACUCACUGGGGGACGUGGGAUCGAUCGGCGGCUGAUGGGAGGCUAGAUUCCGCAAUCCCACAGACUAGACACAUCCCCUUCGCGGUUGACUUUGGCGAAUCGACCUUGAUCUGAAAAUGGGGCUGUUCCGGGCGGCGUCCGGCCUGGCCCGUUUGGCUCUGCGAAGGAACCUCUUGCGCGCCGCGGCAAGCCCCUUUGCCGCCGGCGGUGGCGCCGUCCCAGGUGCCGCGCCGGCGCGCUACUUCCACUCCACCUGCCCGCGCCGGUUCGCUGCGCCCACGCCCCGUGCUGUGCCGCUCUCGCGCCUCACCGACAGCUUCCUUGAUGGGACCAGCAGCGUCUACCUCGAGGAGCUGCAGCGGGCCUGGGAGGCCGACCCCAGCUCUGUCGAUGAGUCCUGGGACAACUUUUUCCGCAACUUCGUCGGCCAGGCUGCCACCACCUCACCCGGCCUCUCUGGGCAGACCAUCCAGGAGAGCAUGAGGCUGCUGCUGCUCGUCAGGGCAUACCAGGUGAGCGGCCACCUGAAAGCCAAGCUCGACCCGCUCGGGCUUGAGGAGCGUCCGGUCCCGGAUGUGUUGGACCCGGCGUUCUAUGGGUUCUCUGAGGCGGACUUAGACCGCGAGUUCUUUCUUGGGGUGUGGAUGAUGGCUGGGUUCUUGUCUGAAAACCGGCCAGUGCAGACGCUGCGCUCGGUGCUGGAGCGGCUCGAGCAGGCCUAUUGCGGUACCAUUGGGUAUGAGUACAUGCACAUACCUGACAGGGAGAAGUGCAACUGGCUCAGGGAUAGGAUUGAGACAGUUAACCCAAUGGAUUACACUUAUGACCGUCGUCAGGUCAUGCUUGAUAGGCUUAUCUGGAGCACACAGUUUGAGAGUUUCUUGGCGACCAAGUGGACAACUGCAAAACGGUUCGGUCUUGAAGGUGCUGAGACUCUGAUCCCUGGCAUGAAGGAGAUGUUUGACAGGGCAGCUCAUCUUGGUGUAGAGAGUAUUGUCAUUGGGAUGCCACACAGAGGCAGGUUAAAUGUCUUGGGAAAUGUUGUGAGGAAGCCCUUGCGACAGAUAUUUAGCGAGUUCAGUGGUGGCACCAAGCCUGUCAAUGAAGGCGAGGGGUUGUAUACAGGGACUGGUGAUGUCAAGUACCAUCUUGGAACUUCAUAUGAUAGGCCUACCAGGGGUGGGAAACAUAUCCAUCUGUCACUGGUUGCAAACCCGAGUCAUUUGGAAGCAGUUGAUCCUGUUGUUGCUGGGAAAACAAGAGCGAAGCAGUACUAUUCUAAUGACCGUGACAGGACCAAGAAUUUGGGAGUGUUGCUGCAUGGUGAUGGUAGUUUCUCAGGGCAGGGCGUUGUGUAUGAGACGCUGCAUCUCAGUGCCCUUGAAAACUACACCACUGGUGGGACAAUACAUAUCGUGGUCAAUAAUCAGGUUGCUUUCACUACUGAUCCAAGGUCAGGGAGAUCCUCACAAUAUUGCACAGAUGUAGCAAAAGCAUUGGAUGCUCCUAUUUUCCAUGUUAACGGUGAUGAUUUGGAGGCUGUUGUUCAUGUCUGUGAGCUCGCCGCAGAAUGGCGUCAGACAUUUCAUUCAGAUGUAGUGGUGGACAUUGUAUGCUACCGGCGAUUUGGCCAUAAUGAAAUUGAUGAGCCGUCCUUCACCCAACCUAAGAUGUACAAGGUGAUUAGGAACCAUCCAAGUGCGCUAGAGAUUUAUCAAAGGAAGUUGUUAGAGUCUGGGAAGAUCUCAAAGGAAGAUAUUGAUAGGUUAAACAAAAAGGUCAGCACUAUACUUAAUGAGGAAUUUCAGAACAGCAAAGACUAUGUUCCCAACAAGAGGGACUGGCUUUCAGCUUACUGGACUGGGUUCAAGUCACCAGAGCAGAUUUCGCGUAUCCGAAACACCGGUGUCAAGCCAGAGAUUCUAAAACGUGUUGGAGAAGCCAUGACUACUCUGCCAGAAAAUUUCAAGCCUCACAGGGCUGUGAAGAAGAUUUUUGAUCUACGGCGUCAGAUGAUCGAGACUGGAGAAGGCAUUGAUUGGGCAGUUGGUGAAGCACUUGCUUUUGCUACUCUUAUAAUUGAGGGGAACCAUGUCAGGUUAAGUGGUCAGGAUGUUGAGAGGGGUACAUUUAGCCAUCGACACUCUGUCAUCCAUGACCAAGAAACUGGAGAGCAGUACUGCCCGCUGGAUCAUCUUGUUAUGAACCAAGAUGCGGAGCUUUUUACUGUGAGCAACAGUUCCCUGUCAGAAUUUGCUGUUUUGGGCUUUGAAUUGGGUUACUCCAUGGAGAACCCAAACUCAUUGGUCUUAUGGGAAGCUCAGUUUGGUGAUUUUUCAAAUGGAGCUCAAGUGAUAUUUGAUCAGUUCCUGAGUAGUGGGGAGUCAAAAUGGCUCCGCCAGACUGGCCUUGUCGUUUGCCUUCCUCAUGGAUAUGAUGGUCAGGGGCCUGAACAUUCUAGUGCAAGAUUGGAACGCUUUCUUCAGAUGAGUGAUGACAACCCUUAUGUUAUACCCGAGAUGGAUCCAACACUGCGGAAGCAAAUCCAGCAGUGCAAUUGGCAGGUCGUUAAUGUAACAACUCCUGCAAAUUAUUUCCAUGUUCUGCGUCGCCAGCUGCCCUUUAUUUCUAGAUACACCGGGACUUCAGGAAGCCUUUGAUUGUGAUGUCCCCAAAGAACCUCCUUCGCCACAAGGACUGCAAGUCGAACCUAUCUGAAUUUGAUGAUCUUGCGGGCCACCCUGGAUUCGACAAACAGGGGACACGCUUCAAGCGUCUCAUUAAGGACCAGAAUAAUCACAAGGACCUCGAGGAGGGAAUCAACCGCCUAGUUCUUUGCUCUGGAAAGGUGUACUAUGAACUGGAUGAAGAAAGAAGGAAGUCGGAGCGCACUGAUGUUGCUAUAUGUAGAGUUGAGCAGCUCUGCCCGUUCCCCUAUGACCUCAUCCAGCGCGAGUUGAAGAGAUAUCCAAAUGCCGAGAUCGUGUGGUGCCAAGAGGAGCCGAUGAACAUGGGAGCAUACAGCUACAUCAACCCGCGGUUGCUGACGGCGAUGAAGGUUCUGGGCCGGGGUGGCAUCGAGGACAUCAAGUACGUCGGCAGGGCCCCGUCGGCUGCUACCGCGACGGGCUUCUACUCGGUGCACGUGCAGGAGCAGACGGAGCUGGUGCAGAAGGCGCUGCAGCGCGACCCCCUCAACUACCCUUUCUGAAAGAAACGAGGCCCCUGUAGAUUCUUGGAAUUGGGGACCUUUUGAAUUUGAUAUAAUACCAAUAUAGAGAGAACAUGCCUUAAAUUUUAUCUGUGCAGCCAUUUGGUGAAAUAAUUGUUUCGACUCUGCAGUACCGCAUGAAACAAACCGUUGUAAGUUUGGAAAAACUCCAUCUCGCAGCGUUGAUUUUGUGUUCCUAAAUGCUGGAAAGUUUGUAUGGCUGAAAGCCUGAAACACCGCCUGCCGCAAUUUUCUUGCGUUGAAUUGCAAAGUCUAUAAAAGCAAUGAACUGAUAUGUCAUUCA